CCUACGGGAGGCAGCAGUGAGGAAUAUUGGUCAAUGGGCGCGAGCCUGAACCAGCCAAGUCGCGUGAGGGAAGACGGUCCUAUGGAUUGUAAACCUCUUUUGUCGGGGAGCAAAAGACGCCACGCGUGGCGUUCCGAGAGUACCCGAAGAAAAAGCAUCGGCGAACUCCGUGCCAGCAGCCGCGGUAAUACGGAGGAUGCGAGCGUUAUACGGAUUUAUUGGGUUUUAAGGGUGCGCAGGCGGAAGAGCAAGUCAGCGGUAAAAGUGAGAGGCUCAACCUCUUCGAGCCGUUGAAACUGGUUUUCUUGAGUGAGCGAGAAGUAUGCGGAAUGCGUGGUGUAGCGGUGAAAUGCAUAGAUAUCACGCAGAACUCCGAUUGCGAAGGCAGCAUACCGGCGCUCAACUGACGCUCAUGCACGAAAGUGUGGGUAUCGAACAGGAUUAGAUACCCCUGUAGUC
rnacentral:rRNA from 1 species